UUCACUUUAGCCUCUUCAUUUACAUAGGGCAUACACCAAGGAACCAGUGGAAACCUCCAGAAGGUAUUUAAACCUCAGAAAAUUCUGUAACUGGACGCUUAAGCUUCUUGCUUGGGCCUGCUCCCACCCUGUGCAGUGUGCUUCUGUUUUCAGUAAAUCUCUGCUUUUGUUGCUUCAUGCUUUCUUUGCUUUAUUUGUGCAUUUUGUCCAAUUCUUUGUUCAAAACCCCAAGAAAACUGCACAACUUCCACUGGUAACAUAUUUUGGCAAGCCAGCCAGGAGUUGAGCAGAGUUGCAAGGGCUGCUAAGGGACAGGAACCCAGAAACCUGACAUGCCGGCAAUAGGAGACAAUAAAUCUUCAGAUGAUCAUGCGACAAGGGUUCCGGCCAGCUCCAGGUGAAGACACCACCACUGGUUAUCAAGGAGCUACCCUGCCUCCACUAGACAAAGCAGGGCAAGGGUUCUGUGAUCCCCAGUAGGUAGGGACUAUGCUCCAAGGCAGCAUGAAGCAGUACAGAAGACCAUCUAUGCCUCUGCCUCCCAUAAAGAUUUAUGGGGAUCACUACUUUCAAGGGGGAAAUGAGGCAGGAGAAUAGGGCCUGGAGGCAGAGAACCUAAGGACUUCCUAGAACUAAAUCAAACAAAAACACUUCAGCUAUGACAGGAAAUAUCCUCUUCUUUUACACAGGGCAUACACCAAGUAAAUGACUUUGUAACUUCAUUUUAGCCUCUUCAUCUACAUAUGGCAUACAGCAAGUAACCAAUGGAAACCUCUGGAGGGUAAUUAAACCCCAGAAAAUUCUGCAACCGGGCCCUUGAGCUGCUUGCUUGGGCCACUCCCACCCUCUGGAGCGUGCUUCUGUUUUCAAUAUGUCUCUGCUUUUGUGGCUUCAUUCUUCCUUUGCUUUGUUUGUGUGUGUUGUCCCAUUCUUUGUCCAAAAUGCCAAGAAGCUGCACACCCACUAGUAACAUAAGCAGUAAAAUAAAAAAUAAAAAUAAAAAUUAGACUGAAUAAAAAUUUUAAAUCUUUGCAGUUCAAAAUAAAUCAAGAAAGUACAAAGAAAUAUACAUAGAGGUGCAUAUUAAUCAGGAAUGCUUGCCCACAUGUACCCAGAGACGUAUAAAAUAAUAUUUAUGGCAGCAUUUAUCAUAGGUGCUACAAACUGGAAGCAACUCAAACAGUAGAAUGUAUAACACAUUGUGGCAUAUUUACACAUUGGAAUACUGUGAAGCAGUAAAAACAAAUUACCUAUAGUUUUAUACCUCAAAACAUAAAUUUUGAAUGAAAGAAGCCACACAUAAAAUAAAACAUACUACUUAAUUCCAUUUGCUAAAAGUUCAAAAUCUGUCAAACUAGGCUAUAGUUAUAGAGAUUAACAUGUGGUCACUGUUGGAGCAAAAGAAGGGGGUAGUACCUGCCAGGGGCAAGAAAGGAACUUCUAAGAUCUGAAAAUAAUUUAUUCCUUAACCUAGGUAGUAAUUAUAAGGACAUUUGUUUUGUGAUAAUCCAUUGUACUACACAAGUAUAUUUUUAGCAUUUUAGUAUGGGUGCUACUUCAAUGAAAACAAAACUGAUUUUAAAGUAUAUAUCAGCCAAAAUAAAGAAUAAAAAACAGAAAAUUCUGGUACACUAAUACUAUGUAUUAGUAAGUAAUAAACUAAGUAGUGUACUCUUUAGUAAGCUAUUUUUACUAAAACUAAACUUAAAACUAAUAAUAAAACAAUACUAAACUAUCAAUUACUACCAAUAUCAACUAAUUAUGCUUCAGAUGUAGAUAAAAUAAUAGUAAACAGUGAAACAAUUCAAAUAUUUUUAUUUUAAUUGUUCUAAAUCCAGUCUCAAAUAGUAUGCAAAUGGUAUUAACAAUAAUUUUGAGACGAUUAUGUAAAAUACAUAUAAUUUAUUUUUUAAAAGUGUAAAAUCCCAAAUACCAACAAAUACUAAGAGAUUGGAGGGAAAGGUAUUGAGAAGUGUCAUCGUGCUAACCAAUUCAUCUUGCCUAGUUGCAAAAGUCAAUCAAGAAUUAUUGAUCCUAUUUUUUCUUAACUUGUGAAAUAUUUAAAGGAAACAUAUUUUUAAAAAAUCUAGCUAUAUAUUGUUUACAGGAGAUAUACUAUAAUAAAAUGACUCAGGAAAGGUACAAUAAAAGGCUUGGGCAAAAUACAUGAGUGAAUGUAAACAAAAUAAAUUUCAGAAAAUAAGCAAAGUAGAAUAUAGGCAAAAAAAGUUUAAUCAUUUACAAAUCAUUCUAUGUUAGUAAAGACUUUACUCCACAGUGGAGAUAUGUCAGUCAGAACUGUCUACUGAAUAAUAAAAUCAAGAUAUAUGAGGGUAAAUUUGACUGAAAUUUAAAACAGAUAUUGAUAGAAAUAAAGUAUUAGCCUAACACCACAAGAGCUAUUUUAGUUCUUAACAGAUAAUAGAAAAUUAAAUAACACUGAAAAUAAAUAUAUACUGAAACUAAUACCCUAGAAAAAGUACCUUCUUUUCCAGAAUUCAUGAUAUAUGUAUAUAAAAUUGAUAAUGUGUUAUGCUUUAAAGAAAGUCUCAAUAAAUAUCAGUAAAUUAAAAUUAUUCAGGCAAUUUUGACAAUUACAUAAGAAUAAUUAGAAAUUAAUAGCAAAAGUAAAACAAAAUAAAACAAGACAUAAUUUGAAAGAAAACGCUGGCAAGUAAUUCAAACCAAAGGAGAAAAAUCUUAACUGUAACUACAGGGAAUUUAGAGUAUAAUGAGCAUGAGAACACUGUACCUUAAAAACUUACAAUGAGACUUGACCAAAUUAGUAAUUAGAGGAAUACUUACAAUCAUAAAAAAAGAAUAAAGGAUAAUAAAUAAUAUGAAUAAAAACUCAAGAAACAAGAAAUCUAACCUAAGGAAAGGAUAAAAAAUAAAAGUAGAAAUUAAUGAAUUUAUAAACCAAAAAUUGUAGGCUUGAUAAAUGAAUCUAAGAGCUGAUUCUUUAGCGAGCAUAAAGUAAGUAAAAUAAACAAGACUCUAGGUUAUUAAUAUGGCUUAAGCUCAGUGUAGCCUGUAUUCUCAAAUUAAUUGUUAUUUAUAUACUGUAAGACAAGAAGUUUAUGCAAGAAUGUAAAUUGACUAAGUCACUAAACACACUGUCGACGUUCACUAACUUUUUGCUUUUGUAAGUCUUUCUUGAAGCAGUGCAUUGAUUUAUCUCCUGGUGCAAGCUGCUGAGGACUGGUUGAACUAGCUCUGCUAUUAAUCUAAAAUAGAAUGCACAAUAUACAAAAUUAAUAAAGAACAAAGGGAUUGUCUUUUUGAUACAGAUAAAAAAUUUACGAUGUAAUAUUAGUUUAAUAUAUAAUGCUAGAUUAAAAUGUUUCAAACUCAUAUAAAUGAAUAAUCUUCAAAAGAAAAUAAUAAAUUGACAUGCAUAAACAUAUAAAGCCUAUAAAAUGAAGUGUUUAAUAAAUAAAAAUUAUCUCCAAGAAAAAAAAACUGUCCUCACAUGGUUGCCUAGCAAAUUGGUGUUAGCCUUCCAUAUACGAAUAAUUACCAUAUUAUGUACAUUGUCCAGAGUAUAAAGUAAAUAGGGCAACUUCUUCAUAAACCUGAUAGCAAAGAUAGCAUAACUUUGACAUGGUGCAAAAAAUUAAGCAGCAAACCAAUCUUAGGUACAAUAAUCUUAGUUAUAAUUUUAAAUGUAAAAGCUCUAAACAAAAUUUUAAGAAAUAGAAUCCAACCUUUAUACAUAUCACCACCAAGAAAGCUUUAAUGUAGAAAUAUAAAUAUAGUUCAAAUAGAAAAUCUGCUAAUAUCAUCCAUCACAGAAAUAUAUGAAAUGAGGAAACCAUAUUAUUAUCUUAAUAGAUUUCAAGCAUGCAGUCAAUAAAUCAAUAGUAUUUUCUGAUUACACACACACAUACACACAAGCAUACAUGCAUACAAAGCUAUCUAGAAAGAUAAGAAUAUUUCUUUAAUGUGAUAUAGAAUAUGCUCCUCAAAACAAGAGCCAGCAUCAUAUUCAAGGAUGACACACCAAAAGAACAACUGCAGUCACCACUUGUAUUGGAAAUUGUUCUGAAAAUACAAGACAACUCAGUAAAUGAGAAGAAAAAUAUUGGAAUAUUUAUAAGAAAGGGAGAAGCUAUAUUAUGUUAUCAUUUUGGUUCUUUGAUUCUUUACUUGGACUGAUAUGAGAAUCCAUGAAAUAUUUAGAAUGAAUGAAGGUUUAGCAAAUGACUGAAAUUACAUUGUGUAUGAACUAUUAAAAGUAUAACUAUAUAGUUUUCCAUAUAACAUAUAUGUAAAUAAAAUAUAUACAACUAUUAACUAACUAAUAUGCCAAUAAUAAUAAUUUGGAAAAUAUAGUGGAAAAAAUAACAUUGCCAAUAAUAAUAAAAUAUGUAACUAGAAAUUAACAACAAAAAUUGUGAGCCCAUGUGAAGAAAAUUUCACCAUAAGAUACCAAAAAAGUGAAUAAAUGGAGUCGUUCUUUGUUAUAAAGAUGUAAUUAACCCAUAAUUAAUUGAUGGAUUUAAUAAAAUUUUAUUUUUUGGAACUGUGAAAAUACUCCUAAUUUCAUCUAUAAGAAUAAAUUUGAUAGAAAAGUCAAGCAAAAGAUUAUCUUAACAGGCUCUAUUGAAAAAGAAGAGUAAUAAUUGGAGGCUAUUCAAGGGAAAUUUCGACAAUCCUUAAAAGCUACAAUAAUUAAAUAGUGUGGUUUUGAUAUCUGAAUAUAAAGAAGCAUUAGUGGAGCAGAAGAUAAAGAUCCGCAAUACAGCCCAAGCACAUAAGUACUGAAAAUACUGUAAGUUGGCAUUUUUUCAAUAUGGUAGGGAAAGAUGGCUUCAUCUGUAUAAUAGACAGAGACACAUGGUGAUCUAGCACCAAAAAAAAAAAAAAAAAAAAAAUCACAUUAGAGUAUUACUUCACACCAUAUGUCACAAUCAAACUGUGAAAAUAACAAACAGUUAAAUAAAAACCUAAACCCAUAAGAAAAAAAACAACCGUAGAAGAAUAAUUUUAUAAUCUUGAGAUAGGGAAGACUAUGAGCAUGACACAAUAGCCAAUAAGUAUACAGAAAACUACAUUUUACUUCAUAGAAAAUAAAAUAAAAUAAAAGACAAAUCUGCAAUUUUUAAAAGCUAAUAACAAAUGGGAGAAAAUUUUGGAAAAAUAUGUGAGGAAAAAAUGGUUUCUAUUGAUAAUAAUUUUUAAAUCUUAAAAGAAAAAAGAUAGAAAAAUAUAGAAAGUAUAUUCAUUAAAUUUGCCAAAGAAGAAAUAUAAAUG
rnacentral:lncRNA from 1 species